rnacentral:rRNA from 1 species
UGGGCGAAAGCCUGACCGAGCGACGCCGCGUGCGGGAUGAAGGCCUUCGGGUUGUAAACCGCUGUCGUUGGGGAGGAAGUGCAGGGGGGUUCUCCCCUCUGUUUGACCUAUCCAAGGAGGAAGUACGGGCUAAGUUCGUGCCAGCAGCCGCGGUAAGACGAACCGUACGAACGUUAUUCGGAAUUACUGGGCUUAAAGGGUGCGUAGGCGGCGCGGUAAGUUGGGUGUGAAAGCCCUCAGCUCAACUGAGGAACUGCACUCAAAACUACCGCGCUUGAGGGAGACAGAGGUAAGCGGAACUCAAGGUGGAGCGGUGAAAUGCGUUGAUAUCUUGAGGAACACCGGUGGCGAAGGCGGCUUACUGGGUCUUUUCUGACGCUGAGGCACGAAAGCUAAGGUAGCAAACGGGAUUAGAUACCCCGGUAGUCUUAGCUGUAAACGAUGAGCACUUGUUUGAAGGGUCCUCCAUAGCCUUUCAGACGUAGCGAAAGUGUUAAGUGCUCCGCCUGGGGA